rnacentral:rRNA from 1 species
AUUGAACGCUGGCGGCAGGCUUAACACAUGCAAGUCGAGCGAGCGGCGGACGGGUGAGUAAUGUCUGGGAAUCUGCCUGAUGGAGGGGGAUAACUACUGGAAACGGUCGCUAAUACCGCAUACCAUCAGAUGUGCCCAGAUCGGAUUAGCUAGUUGGUGGGGUAAUGGCUCACCUAGGCGACGAUCCGUAACUGGUCUGAGAGGAUGACCAGCCACACUGGAACGGAGACACGGUCCAGACUCCUACGGGAGGCAGCAGUGGGGAAUAUUGGACAAUGGGCGCAAGCCUGAUGCAGCCAUGCCGCGUGUGUGAAGAAGGCCUUCGGGUUGUAAAGCACUUUCAGCGGGGAGGCGUUACUCGCAGAAGAAGCACCGGCUAACUCCGUGCCAGCAGCCGCGGUAAUAC